rnacentral:rRNA from 1 species
GAUGAACGCUAGCUACAGGCUUAACACAUGCAAGUCGAGGGACUGGCGCACGGGUGAGUAACACGUAUCCAACCUGCCCUUUACUUGGGGAUAGCUUUUCGAAAGAAAGAUUAAUACCUGAUACAAAGGAUGGGGAUGCGUUCCAUUAGGUUGUUGGUGAGGUAACGGCCGACCAAGCCUUCGAUGGAUAGGGGUUCUGAGAGGAAGGUCAGCCACAUAGGAGCAGAGGCACGGUCCAAACUGCUACGGGAGGAGGCAGUGAGGGGUAUUGGGGAAGAGGCGUUAGCCUGAACCAGCCGAGUAGCGUGAAGGGUAAAGGCUUAUGUGUCGUAAACUUCUUUUAUGUAAGAAUAGGUAGAAUAUGAAUAUGGAUCGGCUAACUCUGUGCCAGCAGCCGCGGUAAUAC